GUCCUACGACAGGAGAAACCAAAGACAUGGCCGGCAAGAAAUUCCAGGACCCAUUAGAAAUCAUGUGGCAAAUGCUGAAGGAAUGUCUGCAGAGAAGACAAGAAAUCAAAGGAGAGCCUGUGCAGAUGGAAGCAUUUCCCGGAGGAAGCGGAGGAAGCAGUGGUUCCGUGCCAGCCUCGGCUGCAGGAAGGGAGGCCAUGCCAGGCACAGACACAGGAGCCUGGAAUCGUGACAUGGGUUUUCAGGACGUCCUGAUGAAUGAUGGUUUGAAGUUCCUGGAGGAUGCUGGAG